UCAGUAUUUGGUCCGUCCUCCGUCUCCCACUCAGUCCAAAGUUCUAAGCCGAUCAAUAAUGGACAUCUGAGAUCGUCUCCAACCUCCGCUGGACUCAUCUGAGCAAAGACAAAGGCUAAUAAAGAGUUGAGAAUCAAACUCUACUCAGUGUAAUGCCUUGCUGUGGUGCUGGACCUUUGACCUCUGACCUGUUGAGGCUCCGGGCUUCAAACAGCGUGUCGUCCUCGUCACUGUCCACCGCCUCCAUCUCCACUGAGUCACUGAGCAGCAGACCGUACUUCUUUCUCUGCAUGGGCUUCUUCAACCUGAUGACAUCAUCGUUUACAUCAGUGACAUCGUCAUGCUCGGCUCCUGGGUUUUGAAACAACUUUGAGCGGAGGUUGUGGACCGACAACAGCUGUGACACCGAGCUCGUCCUCCAGCUCUUACCUGACGGCUCGGAUGAGGAAGUAGAGCAGACCGAUCAUGGUGAAGCCGAU